GGUAAGGACUCUGGAGAGAAGCGUUUUCACGCUCGCCGAAGGGAUAACAAUCUCAGGCAAAGGGACAGAGGGGGCUCG
rfam:Ensifer sp. LCM 4579 contig_11, whole genome shotgun sequence.